rfam:Aedes aegypti strain Liverpool supercont1.31 genomic scaffold, whole genome shotgun sequence.
UGCUCAGCAACUCCUAUCCCUACCUCCUCGCGGCACUGACAGGGGUACGAGGAAACCUAAGGAAGAUCGGGCAACCCCGGUGGGAACUUUUGUCGUACGCUGGCAGGGAAGG